UACAGAGGGUGCAAGCGUUAAUCGGAAUUACUGGGCGUAAAGCGUGCGUAGGUGGUUUGUUAAGUCAGGUGUGAAAUCCCCGGGCUCAACCUGGGAACUGCGCUUGAUACUGGCAGACUAGAGUGUGGUAGAGGGUAGUGGAAUUCCCGGUGUAGCGGUGAAAUGCGUAGAUAUCGGGAAGAACAUCAGUGGCGACGGCGGCUACCUGGACCAACACUGACACUGAGGCACGAAAGCGUGGGGAGCAAACAGG
rnacentral:rRNA from 1 species